rnacentral:misc_RNA from 1 species
GAUGAAGAACGCAGCGAAAUGCGAUAAGUAAUGUGAAUUGCAGAAUUCAGUGAAUCAUCGAAUCUUUGAACGCACAUUGCGCCCGCCAGCAUUCUGGCGGGCAUGCCUGUUCGAGCGUCAUUUCAACCCUCGAGCCCCCCCGGGGGCCUCGGUGUUGGGGGACGGCACACCAGCCGCCCCCGAAAUGCAGUGGCGACCCCGCCGCAGCCUCCCCUGCGUAGUAGCACACACCUCGCACCGGAGCGCGGAGGCGGUCACGCCGUAAAACGUCCAACUUUCUUAGAGUUGACCUCGGAUCAGGUAGGAAUACCCGCUGAACUUAAGCAUAUCAAUAAGCGGAGGA